AGGUCAAAUUGUCAAGGCCUCUCAUGCUCCCAUGACCCAUAAUACAUUCUUCCAUGAUCACAUUUCUUACUUUAAAUGGCCACCUGUGGGCAAAGCACAAGGAAGAGUGAGGAGCAACUCGGUGAGGGCAGACCAGGGCCCCUCACCUUCAGCUGCUGGAAUCUCAAAUCCAGCCUGCAGAGCUGAGAGCUUUGGUUUUAAAGUGAGUCUACAAUUGCAACGUGAAAAGGACAGGGUCUGUCUUUGAGAACCAGCCUGAGACAGGUUGCUGUUAAGGAAGUUAAGAGAUGAAGAGACAGAAGGAUUAAGGAUCUCAUUAAAGUGUUUGGAGCUAAUAAGUGGCAGAGCUGAAAUUUGAACCCAGGGAAUUUCAGAAAAUGAGCCUGACUUUCUUAACUGCUAAGCUGUACUAGACGAUUCUUAAUUUCCCGUUACACUCUCUCCCUGUGUGAAGGACUGUGGACCAUGAACCAUUCGGGAAUAGUUUUCCAGAAUAGCCAUUGGUAUUCAAGUCACCUGAAGGAAUGUGAACGGGUUUCCAGGGAGCAGUUUAGUCCCUUUGGACUGAGGUGAGCAGGGAAAGAACAUGGAGCAGCGUGUGCAUAUGGACCAUUAUCAAGACUCACGCGACACCUGUGAAGAGUACACAAUUCUCUGAUAUGGAAAGCUCCAGAGAACAAUGGCAACAUAGACAUGGCCAUGUGACUGGUUAUGCUGCGGUCUACGAGGGUGCAUUCGAGUCUCAGGAUUGUGUCCCUUGAAACAUGGGGUAGGUCUCUGCCAGUCCUUGCCUUGCUCACCAGAAUGUGGCUGAUUGAUUGUUCUGAGCUGGAGAUAUGACCAAUGUUGAGGAAAUUUGAAUCUUUCUCUAUGAACUAAAGUUCAUAAUCUAAGAGAGCAUUAUUGAUAACAAAUAAGUAAUCUUUGCAGUUCCUGGCAGGGUCCUGGAAUUUGCACUACAGAGGUCCCAGAGGGGAAAGCUGAGUGAGGAGAUAAAUGAUGGGGAAAGGAGAAAAGGAAGAGGGGGAAAGAGAGAAAAGAAAAGGAAAAAAGACCCGAGUUUCUGUUCCGUUUUCUUUUUUUUUCUUCCUCCUUUCCCUUCAUUCUCUGCCCCCUCUUUUGCGGUCUCCUUUCCCUUCCCACCUCUUCCCUUCUAGAUAACGUCUCAUCUUUUUAUCAUGUUCAUAAAUCUGGCCUCUCUUGGCUUUUCCAAUAUGUCAGUUCUGACCAUUAUCACCAGCCAGCCCACCUGAAGUAGACUGUUCUCUCAGAAUGGUUUCUUGUCUUCUUUGUCUAUUCCUUUGGUGAAGGGACACCUUCUGCACUCUUUGUGGUAUUAGGGACACUAUCAAUCAUUGGAAUGCACUUUUUUCAUGAUGGUCAAUCAGAGAAACCCAUCCAUCUGGCCAAAGAGUUUGGCACAGGGAUGGAUGUGUGACCAUUUGACCCAAGCAGAGCAAUCAAAGUCUUCCUUGGGAGUGGCUGUAGAGAAAGAAGUUCUUUUUCCAUUGAGGUUGCCAAACUGGGGCAGCUAAGAGCCUGUCAGAGCCAUUUUGCUUGCUACAUAAAGGGUUAUAGGGGGUUGCUCUGGAAUGUAAAGCCAAGAAUUAAAAGAGGUAUAAGAUGGAAAAAGAGGAAUAGCUUAGAUACCACCUCAUGAAUUCCAGGAUCUCUAGCCAUGACGAAAGCCUGUGGACUCCCAGACAUAGGAUCCAAGAAAUGUCUUUUAUGUUUAAGCUAGCCUCAGUUGGGUUUCUAUUAUGAACUGAUUAGCAUAACAAAGAUCAAAUGACCAAGUGGUAGAAUUUUUAGAAGUUUCCACUGGUUAACUAGAAUUGGUUGUUGUUAGUUCCUACCAAUCGUAUUGCAACCAAUGUUCUGGGAAAACCAUGUAUUUGGAGAUGACUGCCUAAAUGACCACCGCCUUUGAUCUACUUUGGCAUUGUCCAAGUCUCAAAUACAAUCCCACAGGUUGUUUACAGGUGUUUAGCUGGCUUUAUGUCCAUUCUGGUCUUCUUCAUUUACAUAACUCAUUUUUGUGUUAGAUAUUGUCUGUUAAUAACUAUCCCUGCUUUUCUUUCUUUCCCUUUCUUUGCAUCCUGGGGCUAAAAGCCUGGAAAUUACAUUUCUCAAACUCCUAAUCAGCAAGAUUCCAGUUAGAUUCUGCAAAUCAGUCACUUUGGUGAGGUCUAGAAGGCAUCUGGGAGGUUCAAGUCAUUUCUCUCUAGCAUCAACUAUGGAAAUGUGUGUGGGUGUCAGCAGAUGGCAGAUGUGGGUUUUUGUGAGUGGUUUUUGGAGUCCUCCUGAAAGUCACUUCUGUAGGGCAGGCAACUGGCUUCAUUGGUGGCAGCUUUCUGCUGAUUCUGGGCCUUUGCCCAAGGACUAGCUAGUAGAGCUACAGAUAGCUGAAAUCAUUGGCAGGAGCUACCCUCUGAUUCUGACUUUUCUGAUUUCCUGAUUUCCAGCAGCCCUCCUGACCGUUGUCCUCACAACUUUGCCAAUGUUUAUGGAAGCCUCCAGUUUCCUGUAUUUAAUGUCUUCUUAAUUGAGAUCCCUAGAGUGACUUCUAAAUUUCUGACCAAACCCUGAUUGAGUCACUUUAUUAUCUUGUAUCAUGUUAUAAAGAGUCAGUUACUUACAGAAAGACCAAGAAAGAUCAUACAGUGAUGGUCAAAAUUAUCAUCCUUCAACUCUAAAAAUUGUGAAGCCACUACUGUCUCUUACUGCUGGAUUGAAAAGUAUUUAUCAAAUACAAUCCACUUGGAAAGGCCUUGAGAGGAAAUAAAAUGUUUCAUUA